CCUACGGGGGGCAGCAGUGGGGAAUAUUGGACAAUGGGGGCAACCCUGAUCCAGCCAUGCCGCGUGUGUGAAGAAGGCCCUCGGGUUGUAAAGCACUUUCAGUGAGGAAGAACGCCUGGUGGUUAAUACCCAUCAGGAAAGACAUCACUCACAGAAGAAGCACCGGCUAACUCCGUGCCAGCAGCCGCGGUAAUACGGAGGGUGCGAGCGUUAAUCGGAAUUACUGGGCGUAAAGCGCGCGUAGGUGGCUUGAUAAGCCGGUUGUGAAAGCCCCGGGCUCAACCUGGGAACGGCAUCCGGAACUGUCAAGCUAGAGUGCAGGAGAGGAAGGUAGAAUUCCCGGUGUAGCGGUGAAAGGCGUAGAGAUCGGGAGGAAUACCAGUGGCGAAGGCGGCCUUCUGGACUGACACUGACACUGAGGUGCGAAAGCGUGGGUAGCAAACAGGAUUAGAUACCCUGGUAGUC
rnacentral:rRNA from 1 species